GUAGUCAUACGCUCGUUUUCAAAGAUUAACCCAUGCAUGUGUAAGUGUAAAUUGUUAAGUUUGGAACUGCGAAUGGCUCAUUAUAUCAGUUAUAGUUUAUUUGGUGAAGUGUACUACUUGGAUAACCGUAGUAAUUCUAGGGCUAAUACAUGAGAAAGUCCUCUGGUGAGGUGUGUUUAUUAGAAUGAAAACCAUAUGCUUCGGCAUGAUAGUGAGUAAUAGUAACCUAUCGUAUCGCAUGCUUAAUGUAGCGAUGAGUCUUUCAAGUUUCUGCCCUAUCAGCUUUUCGAUGGGUAGUAUUAUGGGCCCUACCCAUGGCCGGUACCGGGG
rnacentral:rRNA from 1 species